rnacentral:tRNA from 1 species
GGCUCAGUUGGUAGAGCAUGUCACUUGCAAUGCCAGGGUUGUGGGUUUAAUUCCCUU